CUGAAAACUAAAAAUAUAAGAGAGAGAGAGGGAGACAGAGAGAGAGGGAGAGCGUGCAGGGAUCCGGCAUGUAUUUUGAUGGUGGUGUUCUUGGCGUUGGUUAUUGAAUCGAAAGCACUGAUAUGCGGAAUGAACCAAGACGGAUUCAAGGCGUGCCAGUCCUCUGUGAGUGGGUCAGCUCCUGCACCCACCAACCCAUCUAAAGCGUGUUGCAAGGCUAUUGGUUCAGCCGACCUCGGGUGUUUGUGCUCCUAUCGGCACUCUCUGCUCCUUCACUCUCUCGGAAUCAAUCCCGAUCUUGCCCUGCAGCUCCCUGCCAAGUGUAACCUCAGGACUCCACCUCAAUGCCAAGGAAAUUAGCUUGACGUAAGGUUCUUACCGUGUCAUCGUACUUCAAGCUUCCUACUGCUGACUCGAGCAUGAAAGUUGGUUGUUGGGAAACCACACUUUCUUUACAUGAGAUAUGUCUCUCAUUUGUAAUCCUAUCUUAUGAAAUAAUAUGUUUCCUGUUUCUAGGUUAACAGAACUUCCAUGUUUCUAUUUGAGUCUCAGGAACGUCCAUGUUUUUUUACUUCUCUUUAAAUUAAUUUCCAUGUUUUUCC